GAUGAACGCUGGCGGCGUGCUUAACACAUGCAAGUCGAACGAUUGAAGCUGGAGCUUGCUCCGGCUGAUUUAGUGGCGGACGGGUGAGUAACGCGUGGGUAACCUGCCUCAUACAGGGGGAUAGCAGUUGGAAACGACUGGUAAAACCGCAUAAGCGCACGGUGUCGCAUGACACAGUGUGAAAACACUCCGGUGGUAUGAGAUGGACCCGCGUCUGAUUAGCUAGUUGGUGAGGUAACGGCCCACCAAGGCGACGAUCAGUAGCCGGCCUGAGAGGGUGAACGGCCACAUUGGGACUGAGACACGGCCCAAACUCCUACGGGAGGCAGCAGUGGGGAAUAUUGCACAAUGGGGGAAACCCUGAUGCAGCGACGCCGCGUGAGUGAUGAAGUAUUUCGGUAUGUAAAGCUCUAUCAGCAGGGAAGAUAAUGACGGUACCUGACUAAGAAGCAC
rnacentral:rRNA from 1 species